rnacentral:rRNA from 1 species
UACAGAGGGUGCAAGCGUUAAUCGGAAUUACUGGGCGUAAAGCGCGCGUAGGUGGUUCAGUAAGUUGGAAGUGAAAUCCCCGGGCUCAACCUGGGAACUGCUUUCAAAACUGCUGAGCUAGAGUACGGUAGAGGGUGGUGGAAUUUCCUGUGUAGCGGUGAAAUGCGUAGAUAUAGGAAGGAACACCAGUGGCGAAGGCGACCACCUGGACUGAUACUGACGCUCAUGCACGAAAGCGUGGGGAGCAAACAGG